ACCUUCUUGUAUAAGCACUGUGCUAAAAUUGCAGAAAAUAGGAAUACAUCUUGGUUUUUGAAAUAAAGCUAGCAGAGUACACACAAGAAGAAAAGUAAAUGCACUACAUUGUAAGGACUGGAGAGGGGGGACCUCUUUCUUAAUGGCAGAUUCCCUGUGAUGUCCUUUUUUGUCUUUUCUGUCUCAGACUUUUGUACAUCUGGC